rnacentral:rRNA from 1 species
AUUGAACGCUGGCGGCAGGCCUUACACAUGCAAGUCGAACGAGUGGCGGACGGGUGAGUAAUGUCUGGGAAACUGCCUGAUGGCGGGGGAUAACUACUGGAAACGGUCGCUAAUACCGCAUACCAUCAGAUGUGCCCAGAUGGGAUUAGCUAGUUGGUGGGGUAACGGCUCACCAAGGCCACGAUCCCUAGCUGGGUUGAGAGGAUGACCAGCCACACUGGGACUGAGACACGGUCCAGACUCCUACGGGAGGCAGCAGUGGGGAAUCUUGGACAAUGGGCGAAACCCUGAUGCAGCCAUGCCGCGUGUAUGAGGAAGGCCUUCGGGUUGUAAAGUACUUUCAGCGGGGAAGCGUUACCCGCAGAAGAAGCACCGGCUAACUCCGUGCCAGCAGCCGCGGUAAUAC